rnacentral:rRNA from 1 species
GACGAACGCUGGCGGCGUGCUUAACACAUGCAAGUCGAACGGAAAGGCCCUGCUUUUGUGGGGUGCUCGAGUGGCGAACGGGUGAGUAACACGUGAGUAACCUGCCCUUGACUUUGGGAUAACUUCAGGAAACUGGGGCUAAUACCGGAUAGGAGCUCCUGCUGCAUGGUGGGGGUUGGAAAGUUUCGGCGGUUGGGGAUGGACUCGCGGCUUAUCAGCUUGUUGGUGGGGUAGUGGCUUACCAAGGCUUUGACGGGUAGCCGGCCUGAGAGGGUGACCGGCCACAUUGGGACUGAGGUACGGCCCAGACUGCUACGGGGGGCAGCAGUGGGGAAUAUUGCACAAUGGGCGGAAGCCUGAUGCAGCAACGCCGCGUGCGGGAUGACGGCCUUCGGGUUGUAAACCGCUUUCGCCUGUGACGAAGCGUGAGUGACGGUAAUGGGUAAAGAAGCACCGGCUAACUACGUG